AUAUUUUAUUCAACAUAUAUACAUGUAUAUAUACAUGUUAAUAACAAUGGCUGAUCUGCAUAUAAUGACUGCUAGUUAUUGGCUGGUAUGCAGUGAAAGGGAGCUAAAAAGGAGUAAAAAGUUAAUUUCAGCCAGGUAGUAUGGCUGAAAUAAACCAGUGUUCAGGAAUGUCCAGUAAUGGCAUGACAUCAUGAGAGUGUGGCAUACAGACAUUCACAUGAUUAAUGAUGAAACUAAAGACCUCAAGUGAAAGGCAUGGAAAAUUAUCCAGUUCCCAUAUACCUGAAAAAGAGGAGGGAUGCCACAAUAUUUAUAAUAGAUUUUUGUCAAUUUGAGAAGCAAAGAUGUUUUUAAAAAAAUGCAGAAAUUAUAAUUUAUGUAUUUGUUAAAAAUACUGUUAACUGCACAUACAUGUAUAUUUUUUUAAACUUAUCUAGAAAUAUAUGAAGUAAUUCAUAUUAAAACUGUGAAUGUAUGAGUUAUCAUGACUUUUAUCAAUAAAGCUUACCAUAUUUAUUGUACAUAUA